CGGGACGGGUGAGUAACGCGUGGAUAACCUGCCGUAUGCAGGGGGAUACCAACUGGAAACAGUUGCUAAUACCGCAUAAGCGCACAGUGUCGCAUGACACGGUGUGAAAAGAUUUAUCGGCAUACGAUGGAUCCGCGUCCGAUUAGCCAGUUGGCGGGGUAACGGCCCACCAAAGCGACGAUCGGUAGCCGGCCUGAGAGGGCGGACGGCCACAUUGGGACUGAGACACGGCCCAAACUCCUACGGGAGGCAGCAG
rnacentral:rRNA from 1 species